GAUGAACGCUGGCGGCGUGCCUAAUACAUGCAAGUCGAGCGAACGGACGAGAAGCUUGCUUCUCUGAUGUUAGCGGCGGACGGGUGAGUAACACGUGGAUAACCUACCUAUAAGACUGGGAUGACUUCGGGAAACCGGAGCUAAUACCGGAUGAUAUUUUGAACCGCAUGGUUCAAAAGUGAAAGACGGUCUUGCUGUCACUUAUAGAUGGAUCCGCGCUGCAUUAGCUAGUUGGUAAGGUAACGGCUUACCAAGGCAACGAUGCAUAGCCGACCUGAGAGGGUGAUCGGCCACACUGGAACUGAGACACGGUCCAGACUCCUACGGGAGGCAGCAGUAGGGAAUCUUCCGCAAUGGGCGAAAGCCUGACGGAGCAACGCCGCGUGAGCGAUGAAGGUCUUCGGAUCGUAAAACUCUGUUAUUAGGGAAGAACAUAUGUGUAAGUAACUGUGCACAUCUUGACGGUACCUAAUCAGAAAGCCACGGCUAACUACGUG
rnacentral:rRNA from 1 species